CAAUAGCGUAUAUUAAAGUUGUUGCAGUUAAAAAGCUCGUAGUUGGAUUUCUGGUAGGAGCGACCGUGCCGAACUUGAUUGUUCGAGUAUUGUGUUGUCUUCAGCCAUCCUCGUGGAGAACUCUUCUAACAUUAACUUGUUGGGAUUGGGACCCGCGUCGUUUACUGUGAAAAAAUUAGAGUGUUUAAAGCAGGCAUUAGCUUGAAUACAUUAGCAUGGAAUAAUAAGAUAGGACUUUGGUACUAUUUUGUUGGUUUGCAUACCAAAUUAAUGAUCAACAGGAACAGUUUGAGGAUAUUCGUAUGAACAUGUCAGAGGUGAAAUUCUUGGAUUUUGAUCAGACGAACUACUGCGAAAGCAUUUAUCAAGGAUGUUUUCAUUAA
rnacentral:rRNA from 1 species